rnacentral:lncRNA from 1 species
GUACAAAAUUGCAAACACCAAUUCAAACGUACAAAAUUGCAAACACCAAUUCAAACGUACAAAAUUGCAAACACCAAUUCAAACGUACAAAAUUGCAAACACCAAUUCAAACGUACAAAAUUGCAAACACCAAUUCAAACGUACAAAAUUGCAAACACCAAUUCAAACGUACAAAAUUGCAAACACCAAUUCAAACGUACAAAAUUGCAAACACCAAUUCAAACGUACAAAAUUGCAAACACCAAUUCAAACGUACAAAAUUGCAAACACCAAUUCAAACGUACAAAAUUGCAAACACCAAUUCAAACGUACAAAAUUGCAAACACCAAUUCAAACGUACAAAAAUGCAAACACCAAUUCAAAAUUACAAAAAUGCAAACACCAACUCAAACUUACAAAAUUGCAAACACCAACUCAAACUUACAAGGAAUGCAAACACCAAUUCAAACUUACAAAGAAUGCAAACACCAAUUCAAACUUACAAAAAAUGCAAACACCAAUUCAAACUUACAAAAAAUGCAAACACCAAUUCAAAAUUACAAAAAUUACAAAAAAUGCAAACACCAAUUCAAACUUACAAAAAAUGCAAACACCAAUUCAAAAUUACAAAAAUGCAAACACCAAUUAAAACUUACAAAAUUGCAAAAAAAAGAAAAAAAAAAAGAAAACAGAGAUUUAGCAGCUCUGCUUAAAACUCUUUACAGUAAACCAUUUAAACCAGCUAGGACCAGCAAAUGAGGCUGGUUCAGACUGUUUCUUUCAGCAAAGACACUGUGAAAAAUGAUUUUUUUGAAGUUGUACGUAAAGAUUAUUGGAGUAUGUUUUACAAGAAAACUGUUUUUACAUUUUGUGAAUAUAUAUUUAUAAUCUUUAAAUUCUUAUCAUUUGUAUUGGAUG